rnacentral:rRNA from 1 species
UACGAAGGGGGCUAGCGUUGCUCGGAAUCACUGGGCGUAAAGGGCGCGUAGGCGGCCGAUUAAGUCGGGGGUGAAAGCCUGUGGCUCAACCACAGAAUUGCCUUCGAUACUGGUUGGCUUGAGACCGGAAGAGGAUAGCGGAACUGCGAGUGUAGAGGUGAAAUUCGUAGAUAUUCGCAAGAACACCAGUGGCGAAGGCGGCUUACUGGUCCGGUUCUGACGCUGAGGCGCGAAAGCGUGGGGAGCAAACAGG